rnacentral:lncRNA from 1 species
AGAGGAAUCCCUGCUCAUCUCUUCUCUUUUUACCACUGGGUCAGCGGGCGGAGGAAGGCGAAGCCCAAACAGCGCUUGGCCCCGAAGCAUGGAGAAGAGGCGAGUUAAAACCAUAGACUAGCGUGACACGGUUGAGGUCUAGAGCGACGCUGCCGCUACGCUAGUCCCUCAAUCAACUUCCGCUUCCGGCAACAACCCGGAAGUCCCGCGAUAAAGAGCUGGCGUCCCUUUUCCGGACUCGGUAGCGGACUGUGGUCUUGGGCUCCUGGUUCGUAUUAACUCGGACGACGACGUGGGCCCUGCGGAGGUAGAUGCUCCGCUCCUUCCUUCCGUCUGCUUCCUCCGUGUCCUGGCCUGGGCGAGGACCAUGUGUUAUAUUUGCUCCGUGCCCCGCCCCGCCUUGACCUCCACUGGCGGGAAGUCCACUUCCGCUGCUCCUGGGCGGCUCCCGGCCUCACUCCGGGCGUCUUUUGCUGAGUUGGAGCCUAGCUGCACCUCCUAUCUUUGAACCCUUGAGCAGGUCUCCUCCAGCUUAUUGCAGGUCCAUGAGGGUGGAUGACCGGGUCUGAGGGCAGCCAGAGUACAGCGGAUAACAGGGCGUGGUGGCGCACCUCGGUCAUCGCACCCCUCGAAGGGCAGAGGCAGAACAAUUGCUCCAAGUUAGAGGCCGGUUUGAGUUACCUGGCGAGUCCCACGCCAGCCAAGGCUAUUUUGAAGGAACCUGUCUCCAAAACAAAACAACAGCAAAACAAAAUAAGUAAAUUAUAACUUGGAGCUAGCGAGAGAAUUGGGAGAGGGAACGCUGGUUGACUUCUAACAUUCAACAACUGCUGGUGUGGGUAACGGGGCUUGCCGUUGCAUUAAGGGCUGAGGUUGAGGAUAGUAACGGGGAGGGUGGAUGUAACGUGCUCGGGACAAUGGAAAAGGAAAAACUAACUUGAGUGUUUACUUGAGGAGAAGAGCUUUGUGCUGAGCAAGUGGUUUCCAGAAACUGAUAGCGUUUAUAAGGCAGGUCGGUUGUGGAACUGGGCUGUCGCUCAGAAGUAACCUUGGAAAUUAACCCCCUAAUAACUUAAAGUUUAUUUCUAGAUGCCAGUCAUGUGAAGAUCCUGGGUACUGUGAGAAGGUGCUUUCCUAAGUGGGUUUGGGAUCUUCUCUCAGAAAGGUUUUGGCCAGAGGGGAAAACCUGAAAAGUAUCUAUCUUCCUCUUGGCUUCUUGUGAAAAUAACAAAUUUUUAAAAAUAACAAACCAGAAAGAUACACAGUGAAAAUUAUUUCCUUCCUCGGUCGUGUGUUCAGAAGCACAGUUAAUUUAAUAAACUUCCAGGUAUGGUUUGUGGAUGUGUUAUACUUGUGCUAGUGUGUAUUUUUCUUCAGUGUGUGUAUAAUUUCUUCUAUAGUGUGCAUAAUUUCUUUUUUGUUGUUGUUGUUGGUUUUUUGUUUUUUUUUUUUCAAGUCAGGGUUUCUCUGUGUAGCCCUGGCUGUCCUGGAACUCACUCUGUAGACCAGGCUGGCCUCGAACUCAGAAAUCCACCUGCCUCUGCCUCCCAAGUGCUGGGAUUAAAGGUGUGCGCCACCACUGCCCAGCUGUGUACAUAAUUUACUGACAACAUGAUCCAUCCAUUGUUGUGUCCGGCCAGCAGACCACAACCUGGGUUCUAGCCUGGAAAGGCAUUUUGGAAACCUGGAAGAGAAGAGGGGCUAGGUGGCGAGAGAAAAG